AGAGUUUGAUCCUGGCUCAGAUUGAACGCUGGCGGCAUGCCUUACACAUGCAAGUCGAACGGCAGCACGGGAGCAAUCCUGGUGGCGAGUGGCGAACGGGUGAGUAAUGUAUCGGAACGUACCAUUGAGUGGGGGAUAACGUAGCGAAAGUUACGCUAAUACCGCAUAUACCCUGAGGGGGAAAGCAGGGGAUCGCAAGACCUUGUGCUCUUUGAGCGGCCGAUAUCAGAUUAGCUAGUUGGUAAGGUAAAGGCUCACCAAGGCGACGAUCUGUAGCGGGUCUGAGAGGAUGAUCCGCCACACUGGAACUGAGACACGGUCCAGACUCCUACGGGAGGCAGCAGUGGGGAAUUUUGGACAAUGGGGGCAACCCUGAUCCAGCCAUGCCGCGUGAGUGAAGAAGGCCUUCGGGUUGUAAAGCUCUUUCGGCCGGGAGGAAAUCGCAUCAGUUAAUACCUGGUGUGGAUGACAGUACCGGAAUAAGAAGCACCGGCUAACUACGUGCCAGCAGCCGCGGUAAUA
rnacentral:rRNA from 1 species